rnacentral:lncRNA from 1 species
AUUGAAAUUCAUGAAAAUUUUUUUUGCCCCUCCAGGUGGCUCACUUCUCUCUGUUUGGAGGCUCUUCUCUGAUAGGCGCUCUACGAUAUCUGAUGAGAAAGUGCAUGAAGGAUGCAUUGGCACAAGACUUUUCACUAACGGGGAGAAAAGGAAAAAGGCCGUUUAACGCCUUGCAGCUCCUCCAAGUUGUCACUGAAACAUUACAAAAGGCAUACACAACAGCAACGGAGACAGAUAUACACAGCGGCAUUGCAGCCUGGCUACGGCACGCCCCUUCACGGCAGAAGAAACGAGAGGCAGCACUGGCCUCCGACCAUAAACGUUCUUCACCUCGGACAAAAUGAAACGUCUACGUCUGCCCUCAAGAGUACUGCACCCAUCGCUAUGGUAACCAAACAUUUUUUUUUUUUUUUUGCCAUUGCCUUCAUCCACAUCACUAUGCUGUUCAUCAGCCGGGAGCACCACGCUUUGCAUGUUUCUGCAGUCAGUCGUGACCAAAUAAUGCCGGUUAACGCACCACAUCGGAAAAAUGUGAAGCAUUUGUGUCAGCUACUCUUCCUUCACCUUACAAUGUACCUGCACAGUUCUGUCAGGCAAAGUGAACAAAGCAGGAGGUGCACCACCAGCGGCUGUGUUGAUGCCCAUACCCUCUGCUGAUAGGAAGAGAGGGAAGUGUGUUAAAUCUAUGUGUCUACUAUGCUGACGGGUGCUGGUAGGUGGCUUACUGCCAGUCCUAACUUUGUAUCUUACUGACGGUUCGCAGUGGUGAUUAAUCUUGUGUUAUUUCUGGCAAAGCACAGUUAUUUCACCAGCGCUGUGAAAUGUUUAUUUAGGAAUUUGCUAGAAAAAGCUUUCGCACAUUUGAACGUUUUUUUGUUUCCAUUUGCGAUCUCGUUCUAUGAUGGAAAUGUGCGAGGCCUCUGAUUAUUUCCAGGAUCGUUGUGAUCAAGAACUUGUUAAUAUUCUGUCAAUGUGCACUAAACAUUUUUAAUUCCUUAUAAGUCACUGUCUUAACGUUGUCAUUGUCG